rnacentral:rRNA from 1 species
GACGUAGGGCGCGAGCGUUGUCCGGAUUUAUUGGGCGUAAAGAGCUCGUAGGCGGCUCGUUGCGUCAACCGUGAAAACCCGGGGCUUAACUUCGGGCUUGCGGUUGAUACGGGCGGGCUGGAGUUCGGUAGGGGAGACUGGAAUUCCUGGUGUAGCGGUGAAAUGCGCAGAUAUCAGGAGGAACACCGGUGGCGAAGGCGGCAUCCUGGACCGGCAUUGACGCUGAGGAGCGAAAGCCAGGGGAGCAAACGGG